rnacentral:rRNA from 1 species
AACGAGCGCUGGCGGCAUGCCUAACACGCGCAAGUCGAACGAGAUCUUCGGGUCUAGUGGCGCACGGGUGCGUAACGCGUGGGAACCUGCCCUUUGGUUCGGAAUAACAGUUGGAAACGACUGCUAAUACCGGAUGAUGACGAAAGUCCAAAGAUUUAUCGCCAGAGGAUGAGCCCGCGUGGGAUUAGCUAGUUGGUGUGGUAAAGGCGCACCAAGGCGACGAUCCUUAGCUGGUCUGAGAGGAUGAUCAGCCACACUGGGACUGAGACACGGCCCAGACUCCUACGGGAGGCAGCAGUGGGGAAUAUUGGACAAUGGGCGAAAGCCUGAUCCAGCAAUGCCGCGUGAGUGAUGAAGGCCUUAGGGUUGUAAAGCUCUUUUACCCGGGAUGAUAAUGACAGUACCGGGAGAAUAAGCUCCGGCUAACUCCGUGCCAGCCGCCGCCGUAA